rnacentral:rRNA from 1 species
GAUGAACGCUGGCGGCGUGCCUAAUACAUGCAAGUCGAGCGCACGGACGAGAAGCUUGCUUCUCUGAUGUUAGCGGCGGACGGGGGAGUAACACGUGGAUAACCUACCUUUAAGUCUGGGAUAACUUCGGGAAACCGGAGCUAAUACCGGCUAAUAUUUUGAACCGCAUGGUUCAAAAGUGAAAGACGGUCUUGCUGUCACUUAUAGAUGGAUCCGCGCUGCAUUAGCUAGUUGGUAAGGUAACGGCUUACCAAGGCAACGAUGCAUAGCCGACCUGAGAGGGUGAUCGGCCACACUGGAACUGAGACACGGUCCAGACUCCUACGGGAGGCAGCAGUAGGGAAUCUUCCGCAAUGGGCGAAAGCCUGACGGAGCAACGCCGCGUGAGUGAUGAAGGUCUUCGGAUCGUAAAACUCUGUUAUUAGGGAAGAACAUAUGUGUAAGUAACUGUGCACAUCUUGACGGUACCUAAUCAGAAAGCCACGGCUAACUACGUG